GAGAAAGGGGGUCUGUACGUGGGUGUCAGAUCAUUUGGGUGUUAGAGAGUAAUGCUGUUAAAAAUGAAAACACUGGCGCAGAUUUAAUAGUGCAAAAGAAGGACAGGUGGAGCACCAGGAUGGAUCCCACCCCGACGUCUUUAAUGGGUUGGACCAGUAUGGCAGCAUCUGCAAAACCCAUGAAAUAUGGAAGAAGCCUUGGAUUUGACCCCUGAUGCAAGCCACGAAUCAUACAGAUGGAAAUUCACUAAAAGCUGAACAUAAAGAUGUCAGGAGCAUCUUAAACAAUUUUAAGAAGCAGGGAGAUUGAGAGCCGAA
rnacentral:lncRNA from 11 species